CAGUAUAGAUUAAUCGAUUAUCGGUUAAAAAUUUGUGUGUUGUGUGUGUGCCUGUGUAAACCCAAAAAUGAUUUGUGGAGGCGAAGAGAGUGCCCGAAGCAGGAAACUGCUCUCGCCCCAGCAACCGUCGGCCGGGAAAGGAGUACCAGUUCAGUGCCAAGGGCUGGCUUUGCCGGAGGGAGGGACUCGCCCGGAGCGGAGCGCCGUCCUGCCGGGAGUCCUGCUGGGGAGCCCGAGUGGGCGGUUAUCUUGGGAGGCUCUCUGGGCUUAGGCUCUCUAAGCCUGUUUCCUCAAGAGUCUCGUGGGGACAAAACAAUAGCAUGUGCUUCCUAAGGUUGUUGUGAGGAUGAAACACAGUACCGAGAUCAGCCUUGUGUGUCUCCGGGCAUCUCAGCGGAGUAGGUUAUGGUCCUCAGUUUACAGUGGAGAGAACAGGAACUCGGAGAGGGAGCUUCAGAGGCCCUCCCAGCACAGAGCCUGGCAUGAAAUUGAAACAGCAGGGUUCGUGCUGGUUGUCAUUCCUUUCAAAUUGUUAUU